GGGGACGACCUGGCUUCGACGUGGGUUACAAAACUUAAGGUGCAUGCCGAGUAUGUUGGUUCUUCUCGUAAAACAGACCAACAAAAUGUUAGUUGCAAACGAUAACAACUACUCUCUAGCAGCCUAGGCUUGCUAGCCUCUGACUAAAGCCGUGCUUAUGCGUUUGGUAUCAGGGGUCGACUCUCAUAAGACAAGCUUGA
rnacentral:tmRNA from 1 species